GCAAGUCGAGAGGGUUUAGACCCUCGGCAAACGGGCUAGUAACACGUGGGAAUCUGCUCUAGAGUCGUGAAUCACCUUUCGAAAGGAAGGAUAAUACACGAUGUACUCUCCGGAGUAAAGAUUUAUCGCUCUAGGAGGAGCCCGCGUCCUAUCAGCUUGUUGGUGAGGUAAUAGCUCACCAAGGCUAUGACGGGUAGGGGGUGUGAGAGCAUGGGC
rnacentral:rRNA from 1 species